CCUACGGGGGGCAGCAGUGAGGAAUAUUGGUCAAUGGACGAGAGUCUGAACCAGCCAAGUAGCGUGAAGGAUGACUGCCCUAUGGGUUGUAAACUUCUUUUAUAUGGGAAUAAAACGCUCCACGUGUGGGAUUUUGUAUGUACCAUAUGAAUAAGGAUCGGCUAACUCCGUGCCAGCAGCCGCGGUAAUACGGAGGAUCCGAGCGUUAUCCGGAUUUAUUGGGUUUAAAGGGAGCGUAGGUGGAUUGUUAAGUCAGUUGUGAAAGUUUGCGGCUCAACCGUAAAAUUGCAGUUGAAACUGGCAGUCUUGAGUACAGUAGAGGUGGGCGGAAUUCGUGGUGUAGCGGUGAAAUGCUUAGAUAUCACGAAGAACUCCCAUUGCGAAGGCAGUUCACUGGACUGCAACUGACACUGAGGCUCGAAAGUGUGGGUAUCAAACAGGAUUAGAUACCCGGGUAGUC
rnacentral:rRNA from 1 species